UACGGGGGGGGCAAGCGUUGUUCGGAAUUACUGGGCGUAAAGGGCUCGUAGGCGGCCAACUAAGUCGGACGUGAAAUCCCCAGGCUCAACCUGGGAACUGCGUCUGAUACUGGAUGGCUUGAAUCCGGGAGAGGGAUGCAGAAUUCCAGGUGUAGCGGUGAAAUGCGUAGAUAUCUGGAGGAACACCGGUGGCGAAGGCGGCAUCCUGGACCGAGAUCGACGCUGAGGCGCGAAAGCUAGGGGAGCAAACGGG
rnacentral:rRNA from 1 species